rnacentral:rRNA from 1 species
CCUACGGGUGGCAGCAGUGGGGAAUAUUGGACAAUGGGGGGAACCCUGAUCCAGCCAUGCCGCGUGUGUGAAGAAGGCCCUCGGGUUGUAAAGCACUUUCAGUGAGGAAGAACGCCUGGUGGUUAAUACCCAUCAGGAAAGACAUCACUCACAGAAGAAGCACCGGCUAACUCCGUGCCAGCAGCCGCGGUAAUACGGAGGGUGCGAGCGUUAAUCGGACUUACUGGGCGUAAAGCGCGCGUAGGUGGCUUGAUAAGCCGGUUGUGAAAGCCCCGGGCUCAACCUGGGAACGGCAUCCGGAACUGUCAAGCUAGAGUGCAGGAGAGGAAGGUAGAAUUCCCGGUGUAGCGGUGAAAUGCGUAGAGAUCGGGAGGAAUACCAGUGGCGAAGGCGGCCUUCUGGACUGACACUGACACUGAGGUGCGAAAGCGUGGGUAGCAAACAGGAUUAGAUACCCUGGUAGUC